rnacentral:lncRNA from 1 species
UUACGUACCUUGUAUCCUUUUAAAGAAGAUAUGUAUCCUCCUUUUGAAUCACUUUUGUUGAAAGUCUGUGUAAAAGCAAUAACUUGUAUGAGAUUUGCUGUAACGGCGGACAAAUAUAAAUCUAUUUAAAUGACCUCUUUUUCAUUAUUAUACGUUUAAUUAUGCAUAACAUAUUAGAUUUAAUAAAUGAAAUCAUGAAUCUAUUUUUCAAGCCAAGGCAAAGCAGCGAAUUGGUUUAACAUGUUCUUACAGUAGUCAACUCAGUAUCUUGAUCGACGUUUUGCCCAAAAUAUAUACCUUAAUUAUUUUGAUCGACGGUUUGUUGAUAAGUUUAAGUUGUUUCUCCAAUUCUAACUCCUUUACUUUGGAUAGCUUGAUUUUUCCUUGAACCCCAUCAUAACUCAUAAGAAGAUAUAGUACUAGAAAAGUUUGUCGAAUAAUUCUUUGAUCCACCAAGAUUACCUGAAUACAUGAAUUUAGUUUUGCAGGUAUGAAUGUUAGGAUAUAUAUGUAAAUACAAUAUUAUUAAACAAACAAAAUCACAAAUUAAUACAACAUGCUAAUGUAAAUUAGUUAACAAAACAAGAAAGUACUAAGUAAUGAACUUACCUGAUUUACUAGAUGUAUGAAGCUUGAGUUUUUG